rnacentral:rRNA from 1 species
GGCUUUUAUUAAUGAACCAGAACAUAAGUCUUUCGAAUCCCAAUCGAAAGCAAAUAAACCAGUGCAAAUACAGACCUUCAGGAUCAAAUAGGGAUACAAAGACACAAGACAGAUGACUAAAAUCGGAGAUACAGACCCCAAGUAACUAGUUUUCUUGCGCCCAGCGACACCACCGCUGCAGGUAGCCGCGGCGCCCAGUGAGCUGCCGCCUGCACGCCCGACGAAUGUGUGCCAACCCCUAUGUCCGCCGAUGGCCAAGCGCCGCCGCCAGAGCUCAAUGUCGUGCACACCCCCGAUGACUCCACAUCUGGCGCCGGUGUGCCCCCCAACACAUGUGCUUCGGGGACCGGCGGCUCGACGCCGCACCCCGCGUGUGCACCCCCUACCACAUCUGGAGCGCUCGCCGUGCGGGCCAAUCUGCAAAAAUUGGUUCGCAAAAGGCGACAGGACCAUGGAGGAAGGAGGAUAGCAUAGACCAGCGCGGUCAACCGGCAAGAACAGAGCCACAGAUUUUUACUAACAUGUCGCCCAACGACGGCACCGCCCUGAUCCGGCUGGCGCAUAUCAAGAGAGAACGCUCGCACGACCGAAUUCGGCCGCCGCGGCGCCGCCACCGCCCGAAAUGGACGCCCCCAAGCGUGCUCCUGGAUCGUUGACCGCCGACAUCGAUCUGCAGUACCGGCGAGCGGAGCAAGCUCGUAAGUUAUAGAUUCCAACGACAAAUGGUAUGCAGGAGCAGAGUUCCACUCACCCAGAUUC